AGACCCGAAACCCGGUGAUCUAGCCAUGGGCAGGUUGAAGGUUGGGUAACACUAACUGGAGGACCGAACCGACUAAUGUUGAAAAAUUAGCGGAUGACCUGUGGCUGGGGGUGAAAGGCCAAUCAAACCGGGAGAUAGCUGGUUCUCCCCGAAAGCUAUUUAGGUAGCGCCUCGUGAAUUCAUCUCCGGGGGUAGAGCACUGUUUCGGCCAGGGGGCCAUCCCGGCUUACCAAUCCGAUGCAAACUGCGAAUACCGGAGAAUGUUAUCACGGGAGACACACGGCGGGUGCUAACGUCCGUCGUGAAGAGGGAAACAACCCAGACCGCCAGCUAAGGUCCCAAAGUCAUGGUUAAGUGGGAAACGAUGUGGGAAGGCCCAGACAGCCAGGAUGUUGGCUUAGAAGCAGCCAUCAUUUAAAGAAAGCGUAAUAGCUCACUGGUCGAGUCGGCCUGCGCGGAAGAUGUAACGGGGCUAAACCAUGCACCGAAGCUGCGGCAGCGAACGUAUCACCCAAGACAACUUUACACAGUUGACGACUGACGGAGCGAAGCGACGUCAAAGCGUUUUACAACGUCGAGUUGGCUUAGGGAUACGUUCGUUGGGUAGGGGAGCGUUCUGUAAGCCGUUGAAGGUGUGUCGUGAGGCAUGCUGGAGGUAUCAGAAGUGCGAAUGCUGACAUAAGUAACGAUAAAGCGGGUGAAAAGCCCGCUCGCCGGAAGACCAAGGGUUCCUGUCC
rnacentral:rRNA from 1 species